GUUGAAAAAUUAGCGGAUGACUUGUGGCUGGGGGUGAAAGGCCAAUCAAACCGGGAGAUAGCUGGUUCUCCCCGAAAUCUAUUUAGGUAGAGCCUUGAGCGGACACCUUCGGGGGUAGAGCACUGUUUCGGCUAGGGGUCCAUCCCGGAUUACCAACCCGAUGCAAACUACGAAUACCGAAGAGUGAUACUCAGGAGACACACGGCGGGUGCUAACGUCCGUCGUGGAGAGGGAAACAACCCAGACCGCCAGCUAAGGUCCCAAAGUCUAUAUUAAGUGGGAAACGAAGUGGGAAGGCUUAGACAGCUAGGAUGUUGGCUUAGAAGCAGCCAUCAUUUAAAGAAAGCGUAAUAGCUCACUAGUCGAGUCGGCCUGCGCGGAAGAUGUAACGGGGCUCAAAUAUAGCACCGAAGCUGCGGCAUCAGACGAAAGUCUGUUGGGUAGGGGAGCGUUCUGUAAGCGGAUGAAGGUGAAUCGAGAGGUUUGCUGGACGUAUCAGAAGUGCGAAUGCUGACAUAAGUAACGAUAAAACGGGUGAAAAACCCGUUCGCCGGAAGACCAAGGGUUCCUGUCCAACGUUAAUCGGGGCAGGGUGAGUCGGCCCCUAAGGCGAGGCUGAAAAGCGUAGUCGAUGGGAAACGGGUUAAUAUUCCCGUACUUGGAUAAACUGCGAUGUGGGGACGGAGCAGGUUAGGUUAUCGCACUGUUGGAUAUGUGCGUUUAAGUUGGUAGGUGUGAAGUUUAGGCAAAUCCGGACUUCUUUAACACCGAGAGAUGAUGACGAGGCUCUACGGAGCUGAAGUAACCGAUACCACACUUCCAGGAAAAGCCACUAAGCUUCAGGUUUAUCUAAACCGUACUGAAAACCGACACAGGUGGUCAGGUAGAGAAUACUCAGGCGCUUGAGAGAACUCGGGUGAAGGAACUAGGCAAAAUAGCACCGUAACUUCGGGAGAAGGUGCGCCGGCGUAGAUUGUAGUCCCUUGCGGAUGAAGGUUGAACCGGUCGAAGAUACCAGCUGGCUGCAACUGUUUAUUAAAAACACAGCACUCUGCAAACACGAAAGUGGACGUAUAGGGUGUGAUGCCUGCCCGGUGCUGGAAGGUUAAUUGAUGGUGUAAUCGAAAGAGAAGCUCCUGAUCGAAGCCCCAGUAAACGGCGGCCGUAACUAUAACGGUCCUAAGGUAGCGAAAUUCCUUGUCGGGUAAGUUCCGAC
rnacentral:rRNA from 1 species